rnacentral:rRNA from 1 species
GAUGAACGCUGGCGGUAUGCUUAACACAUGCAAGUCGAACGGACUCUUCGGAGUUAGUGGCGGACGGGUGAGUAACGCGUGAGAAUCUGGCUUUGGGUUCGGGACAACCACUGGAAACGGUGGCUAAUACCGGAUGUGCCGGGAGGUAAAAGAGAAAUUGCCUGAAGAUGAGCUCGCGUCUGAUUAGCUAGUUGGUGAGGUAAAGGCUCACCAAGGCAGCGAUCAGUAGCUGGUCUGAGAGGAUGACCAGCCACACUGGGACUGAGACACGGCCCAGACUCCUACGGGAGGCAGCAGUGGGGAAUUUUCCGCAAUGGGCGAAAGCCUGACGGAGCAAUACCGCGUGAGGGAAGAAGGCUCUUGGGUUGUAAACCUCUUUUCUUAGGGAAGAACAAAAUGACGGUACCUAAGGAAUCAGCAUCGGCUAACUCCGUG